GACGCACAUUACGCUCUCUGGUAUUCCGGAGAGCAUGCUUGUUUGAGUAUCAGUAAAACACCCUCAACCUUUUCUUUAUUGAAAAGGUUGGACUUGAGUGAUCCCAACGGUUUUUUUUAAAAGGCUGGCGGGUUGCCUGAAAUGCAGGUGCGGCUGGACACAUCUUCUGAGCUAUAAGCAUUACCUAUUUAGUCCCGUCAAACGGAUUAUUUCUAUUGCUACAGCUAAUAUAAAGGUUGAUUGUCCUGUGCCCGACUGAUGCAGGAAAACAUGGAGAAAUCCUUGUUCAACUCGAUCUCAAAUCAAGCAAGACUACCCGCUGAACUUAA
rnacentral:misc_RNA from 1 species